CUCUGCUGAAACACGUUUUCCACAUGGGACUUUAUUACUCUUGGCUCUUGUCAUUGCCUUGAAUAAUAGAUUUGAGUCGACACUCAAAUCAAGUUCCAAUUCAAGCGAAUCCGAGUACAUUUUAGAGUGGAGAUGUGAACGAGGAUUGAGGCAAGCAAUGAAGACGAGAAGGCGGAGUGGAAAAGCAUGCCAGAGGAUAUUUAUUGAGUGCCAACUCCCUGCCAGGCAUUGUGCUGGACAUUCAGAACUAAAGAGUAAACAACAGAGAUUCUCUGUGGAACAGUACCAUGGGGGUGCUGUGAGAAAUUAAAUCCAAAAUGCAAAGGGAGCACAGAGUCCCCAUCCAGGAGCCCACCCAGGGUCACCUCAUUGAACAAAAACAUUCCUAUCACCCAGGAAAGAUUGGUGCUUUAUCCAUUAUGUACAUUAAUAAAAUAGGUAAGUCUAAGUGAGUUUGUUGUUUUUGUAACUUUUGUCUCUCAUUUAUUCACUUG
ensembl:lncRNA